UACGAAGGGGGCUAGCGUUGUUCGGAAUUACUGGGCGUAAAGCGCACGUAGGCGGACUAUUAAGUCAGGGGUGAAAUCCCGGGGCUCAACCCCGGAACUGCCUUUGAUACUGGUAGUCUCGAGUCCGGAAGAGGUGAGUGGAAUUCCGAGUGUAGAGGUGAAAUUCGUAGAUAUUCGGAGGAACACCAGUGGCGAAGGCGGCUCACUGGUCCGGUAUUGACGCUGAGGCGCGAAAGCCAGGGGAGCAAACGGG
rnacentral:rRNA from 1 species